rnacentral:tRNA from 1 species
GGGCCGUUAGCUCAGUUGGUAGAGCAGUUGGCUUUUAACCAAUUGGUCGAAGGUUCGAAUCCUUCACAGCCCACCA